AAGGCGCGGAACUACUCAGUGGUGAAGGCUGUGCGGACACUGGGGGCCCGCCAGGGGUUUGGCCCCUUACUCAACCCAACCACGGUCCUCUCCGGCGCAGGCCGAUUUGAGGACCUAGACUCCUUGAUGCUGACGGCCUGAGGGGGCUCCCGGGUGCCGGAUAUCUGACACAGGCCAGGGAGGCUCCCCUGGGAGACCUGGCAGGCCUGGAGGUGUGAGUCGGCUCUGAGCAGCUGCUCUGGGAGAGCCAGUCCACGGAGCCAAAGCUGGAGGGCAGCUGCCGGCCACAAGUUGGGGAGGAGGAGAGACGCAAGGCCGUCAGAUGCUUGUCCUGGAAACCAACCAUGAGCUGUGAUGAAAUCCAGGCAACUGAGUUGUGUUUCAGCCCAAAGCAGCAAAUGGAAUCCAGCUUCAGGACCAUCAUCUGACAUAGGGGAAGAAGACUUACAUAGAAGGCCUAACCAGCACCCAAGAUCAGGGUGGUCAUGAAAGAUUUCAACAAUAAAGAUGUAUUUGAGCAGAGACUUAACAGGAGGGACGAAACAAGCCAUGCAGCUAUUUCACUGAAGAGUAUUUUAGGUAAACUAAACAACA
rnacentral:lncRNA from 1 species